AUUGAACGCUGGCGGCAUGCUUUACACAUGCAAGUCGAACGGUAACAGGCCUUCGGGUGCUGACGAGUGGCGAACGGGUGAGUAAUGCAUCGGAACGUGCCCAGAGGUGGGGGAUAACGCAGCGAAAGCUGUGCUAAUACCGCAUGUGAUCUGAGGAUGAAAGCGGGGGACCAGGCAGCAAUGUUUGGCCUCGCGCCUUUGGAGCGGCCGAUGUCAGAUUAGGUAGUUGGUGGGGUAAAGGCCUACCAAGCCGACGAUCUGUAGCUGGUCUGAGAGGACGACCAGCCACACUGAGACUGAGACACGGCCCAGACUCCUACGGGAGGCAGCAGUGGGGAAUUUUGGACAAUGGGCGCAAGCCUGAGCCAGCAAUGCCGCGUGCGGGAAGAAGGCCUUCGGGUUGUAAACCGCUUUUGUACGGAACGAAAAGGCUCUGGCUAAUACCUGGGGCUGAUGACGGUACCGUAAGAAUAAGCACCGGCUAACUACGUG
rnacentral:rRNA from 1 species